GUACCAGACCUGUACGGCGAGUGACAGGCAGAGCUCAGAUUUGAAAGGCACUUUUGUGCCGUUGUAUUCUGAAGUUAGGGUCCUGAGAAACGAUGCUUAAGUCUUCUGGAAAGGAGCGCCAUGGAGGGUGAUAGCCCCGUCUAGCAUUGACCUCAUAUAGGAUCUUAACAUGGAGUCGAGUUGUUUGGGAAUGCAGCUCAAAUGGGUGGUAUGCUCCAUCUAAAGCUAAAUAUCUGCGAGAGACCGAUAGUAAACAAGUACUGUGAGGGAAAGAUGAAAAGAACUUUGAAAAGAGAGUGAAAAAGUACGUGAAAUUGUUGAAAUGGAAGGGUAGGCCGCUAACCAUGUAGAGCCGUGUUUGGGGGGAAGAUAAAUGCUGUAGAAUGUAGCUCCUCGGAGUAUUAUAGAUGCAGUUCAUAUUCCCACCCGAGCGCGAGGAUCUCAGGUUCUACUAAAUGGUGGUCUACCACCCGUCUUGAAACACGGACCCAUUUCCCCCUUUCUGAGAACGUGAAAUCCUCGCGCGGGGGGGGAAUAUGAACUGCUUUAUAUCCUUCAAGAGCUCUUUCUCAUUUUAUUCCCCCAAUCGGUUCUCUUGUUGCGGCUCCCUUCCCUUUACCAUUUUCGUA
rnacentral:rRNA from 1 species